GUUCCCGUAGACUAACGGUAGGUCACAUGACUUUCAAUCAUGUAGUGCGAGUUCGAUUCUCGUCGGGAAUACCA
rnacentral:tRNA from 1 species